ensembl:lncRNA
GCUUCGGCGGGCAAAGGGCGCCUCCUGGUGGGACCUUGGGGAACAGCGCGAGGGACGAGCGUACCGGGUACUGGAGACUGCGGCCUUAGUGGUGGCGAGGAUGGAGAGCGAGCCAGAGGUCUCAGGGAGAGAAAAGACCAAAUUGUUCCAGGAGACACUAGAGAGAGACAACUUGCAUUUAGUGGUUCCAGGGCACUAUUUUAUCAAUACGAACAUCUUUGGAGGAGCUGUCAUUCUCAUGUCACAGGAUCCAAUACCAAGAGAAACUGAAGAAGCAACACAAUUGAGCAGGAGGAAGAGGCAAGGAGAGCAAAGCGUAAUUCCUUGGGCAGUGGCAGGUACAUAGAAAAAGGCCUGCCUUCUCCAUACAACCACCUCGGGAUAUAAACAUAAGAUGACACUUUUCCUAUUACCCCAGAUGUUUGGGAUUCACAAUUUAACCAGAGGACAGUUUUGUCUGAACAAUGGCAUUAAGUCUUCCUAUGAAUUAUUAUUAAAUGACUUCAGGAUAUUAUAAAGGUAUUUGAAGGUUAAAAAAAAAAAGAGGUGUGUGUGUGUAUAAAUGUCUCUAGUAUAUAUAUAUGUAUAUAUAUAUAUAUGAAUACAUAUAUUUCAUAUAUAUUACAUAUAUAUCCCCCAAUACAUCUAUAUUUCAACAUAAUGUCAACCAGUUCUCUUUUUCAGCUCAAUAGCACAAUAAUUCAUCCAGCAGCUUCUAUCUGCCAGGUAGGAUAUUAGGCACUACAGGGGACAGAAAGAAAAAUUGAACAGGGUUUCUACUUUCAAAAAGUUUAUAUUCUGGCACAUUUAAUUUUCCCUUCUAAAGGAAAACCUUUAAAUUUUAUCUCAUAGCAAUUUUUAGGAGCUUGAGCCCUCCCAAGGAAUUCCGAAUAGCAACCUGAAUAAGAUAGCAGGAUUUCUAUUCACUGGGGACAGAUUUCUUACCACUCCUAGCUAAAUCAGCCAUGGGCUACAUUCAGGAACUGUACCACGUAGUGGGUUAUGCCCAAGUUUGAAAUAGAGAUGCUUACCCGUUAGCUGCAACGGCAAGAAAAGUUUUGUACUGUGUAUUGCAUGGUAUAACAAUCAUUUCCAUUCUUGUUCUUCCAGAUUCUAGGCAAAAGUCUUCAUUUAGAAGACUCUAGUUAUCUUAAUUUGAAAAGACUACAGGAAGAUGUUGCAGCUGUCUCCAGAUACUUAAGAGCUUUCCUAUGUUGCUCCAUAACCAAGACCAAUGGAUAAAAGUUACAGGCUGAUUUUAGCUCAAAUAAGAAAGAAUUUAUGAGUUGCCUCAGGCGAUAAUGAGCUCCCCAG